rnacentral:rRNA from 1 species
GACGAACCGUGCGAACGUUGUUCGGAAUCACUGGGCUUAAAGGGUGCGUAGGCGGGCAGGUAAGUCAGUGGCGAAAUCUCCGGGCUUAACCCGGAAACUGCCGUUGAUACUAUCUGUCUUGAAUAUCGUGGAGGUAAGCGGAAUAUGUCAUGUAGCGGUGAAAUGCUUAGAUAUGACAUAGAACACCGAUUGCGAAGGCAGCUUACUACACGAUCAUUGACGCUGAGGCACGAAAGCGUGGGGAGCAAACAGG